rnacentral:rRNA from 1 species
AGGUUUCCGUAGGUGAACCUGCGGAAGGAUCAUUAUUGAAAUAAACCUGAUGGGUUGUUGCUGGUUCUCCAGGGAGCAUGUGCACGCCUUGUCAUCUUUAUAUAUCUCCACCUGUGCACCUUUUGUAGACCUGAAAGGUCUAUGUUGCUUCAUUUACCCUGAAUGUAUGUUAAUAGAAUGUUGUGCCUAUAUAAUAUAUACAACUUUCAGCAACGGAUCUCUUGGCUCUCGCAUCGAUGAAGAACGCAGCGAAAUGCGAUAAGUAAUGUGAAUUGCAGAAUUCAGUGAAUCAUCGAAUCUUUGAACGCACCUUGCGCUCCUUGGUAUUCCGAGGAGCAUGCCUGUUUGAGUGUCAUUAAUAUAUAUCAAAACCUCCUUCUCUUGCAGGAGCGGUUUUGGAUGUGGGGGGUUUUGCUGGCCUUUUAAAAGGGCUCAGCUCCCCUGAAAUGCAUUAGCGGAACAAACCUGUUCAUUGGCGUGAUAACUAUCUACGCUGUUGAAUGUGAGGAGCAGUUCGGCUUUCUAACGGUCCUUGAGACGAUUCUUCAUUAA